rnacentral:sRNA from 1 species
CUAGUUUCUAAGGAUCAUGUCUGCGAGCCAGGAUUCCCGGUUAUGAUGUGAUUGCUCAAGCCCAAUCUGGGACUGGGAAAACGGCCACAUUUGCCAUAUCGAUUCUGCAGCAGAUUGAAUUAGAUCUAAAAGCCACCCAGGCCUUGGUCCUAGCACCCACUCGAGAAUUGGCUCAGCAGCUCCCAAAUACAUCAAGAUGUUUGUAUUGGAUGAAGCUGACGAAAUGCUAAGCCGUGGAUUCAAGGACCAGAUCUAUGACAUAUUCCAAAAGCUCAACAGCAACACCCAGGUAGUUUUGCUGUCAGCCACGAUGCCUUCUGAUGUGCUUGAGGUGACCAAGAAGUUCAUGAGGGACCCCAUUCGGAUUCUUGUCAAGAAGGAAGAGUUGACCCUGGAGGGUAUCCGCCAAUUCUACAUCAACGUGGAACGAGAGGAGUGGAAGCUGGACACACUAUGUGACUUGUAUGAAACCCUGACCAUCACCCAGGCAGUCAUCUUCAUCAACACCCGGAGGAAGGUGGACUGGCUCACCGAGAAGAUGCAUGCUCGAGAUUUCACUGUAUCUGCCAUGGUGUGUUUGCCCGCUGCCAGCCUGUUGUGGGUCUGCCCGUCAGAAGUGUCCUACUUGAAGCCAGGGUUCCUGGAAUCCAUGUGCCUACCUGGUCUGCUGCAUGUUUGUUUUCUUUUUCUAGCAUGGAGAUAUGGACCAAAAGGAACGAGACGUGAUCAUGAGGGAGUUUCGUUCUGGCUCUAGCAGAGUUUUGAUUACCACUGACCUGCUGGUGAGUAGAGGGAACUGACAGGAAAGGCAGAAGGGAGGAUCCAAGGUGAUUCCCUCUCCAAGGGGACAUCAGUGCCUCUCAGGAAAGUAGCAGCUUGGAAUAGAAUCUGGCAUGCCUAAGGCCUUUGGGGAACUGGGAUGCUUAUUUCCUCUGCCUUCCUUGGCUGCCCACAUGGAUGCCUAAGUGUCUUCCCUCCGGGAUAGUGUCCUCCGUGCACAUGCUGAAGAGUUGUCUUUCUUGACGUAGGCCAGAGGCAUUGAUGUGCAGCAGGUUUCUUUAGUCAUCAACUAUGACCUUCCCACCAACAGGGAAAACUAUAUCCACAGAAUCGGUCGAGGUGGACGGUUUGGCCGUAAAGGUGUGGCUAUUAACAUGGUGACAGAAGA